CCUUGAACAAGUCUCUGUUUGUUUUGUACUAUUCAGAUUUCCUCGUCUGUAAACAUUAAGUAUCUACGUUCCCUAAAAGUAGUUCUGAAUGAAUGUUAUUUAAUGGUGCCAAUGAUGUUGGAGACACCCUGUGCCCUAUUGGUUCCUGGGCUCGGACUGUUGAUGCAGCUAUUUCUAUUUGGUUAUGGACUCAAUCACUGCAGUCGCAAUCAAAAGAUGGCUUGAGCUGGAACCUGGAACCUGCUAAUCCUGUUGGGCAGCCUGUGAUUUUGGAAGUGAAGGGAAAAAAAAAGAAAAAAGAAAAGAAAAAAGGGAAAAUUUCACAUAAAACUUCCAGAAGACUAAGAAGAUGGAAACUUUUGUGUUGUGCAUUCAGUAACGUGUACUUUCAUAAGCAGAUGGCAAAGAAAGAAAGCCUGAGAAUCUGGCCCGACGUUUUCAUUUCAGAACCCUGCAUUUCCCACAUAGAGGAGAUACAGCACAUCCGUUGCAUGGUAGAUCCAGCUUGCUCUCAUAGUCGUUGUGCAAAUAAACAUACAUGUGACAAAGCAGUGCAGUUUUCAGUUGUUAAAAGUUGUGUCAUUCCACGAGAUGGAGCAAAGGACAUUGGCGAUGUAAACAGGCAACAGGACUCUGACUCCAGACCCCUCUCUGCAUGGAGGAUGCUCAGUCCUUAUACCACAAAACGUGAGAUGCUUCCGGCCACCUCCCGGCCCUGACGCCUGAGCUCUGUGCUCACCCCACUGGAGCUCCUGGCAGUUCUCUGAGCAGGCUGCACCUGUCCGGAGUGAUCCUCUCCACGUAAUGUUAGACAUUAAUUUCCCUGUGAAAUCUGUUUUGACUCACUGAGGUUAUGAGCACUUUAUCACAACUAUCAUCAUAUACUAUUAAAUCUCCAAUUUUCUUGUCUCUGUUACUAGACUGGGAGCUCCUUGAAGGCUGGACCUGGGUUUGGCACUGAGUGGCACUCAGCACAUACUUCUUGAAUAAGAGAAUGUACGUACACAGUGGCAUGAAAUUGAUUUGAUUUUGUCGGUUUUCUUAAGUGCUAAAGUUGUAGACAGUUCAGUAAAAACUAUAAAGCGGUUACCCUGUAAACCAUGAGUACUAUUAAUUGGAACCGCCUUUCUUACGUAUCCACUUGUGCUUCUGUUAAUGUUUCCAAAAUAAAUAAAGAGCAGGCUAGAGGGAAAUCUCCAGUCCUUAGAAACCAU
rnacentral:lncRNA from 10 species